rnacentral:lncRNA from 1 species
UACUAUUUGUAAAUUUCUUAAUAGUGUUAAGCACAACAAUAAGAAUAAGAAAAAUAAUAAAACGUCACAAUUUCCCCCCCAGAUUUUUGUAGAAAGAACAGAAUAAUUGGAAAUUAUAAGAAAAAAUAAAAUAAAAUUGAAUAAAAUAAAACAAAAAAUCAUGAUUAUGAUUACUAUAAAUUUGUAUUGUACAUGUUGUCACGUCUUCUACUCUUGUAGGUUCUUUUAUAGCCACAAACUAGACCGACACAGGCGCACGUUAGUCACUGUUACUUGUUUCUUACUAAACUACGCCUCUUCAGCUUCUGAAUUCUCUACUCUCCACUUGCUUGUUCCUCUAGAAGAAAGUAAAACAAGUGUUUUGAAACUUUCUCUGCUACCAAACCAUUUUCUUCUUCUUUCUUAUGGCGUCUUUGAGACCCACCCUCUCUCAACUU